GAUGAACGCUGGCGGCGUGCCUAAUACAUGCAAGUCGAGCGAACAGAUGAGGAGCUUGCUCCUCUGACGUUAGCGGCGGACGGGUGAGUAACACGUGGAUAACCUACCUAUAAGACUGGGAUAACUUCGGGAAACCGGAGCUAAUACCGGAUAAUAUAUUGAACCGCAUGGUUCAAUAGUGAAAGACGGUUUUGCUGUCACUUAUAGAUGGAUCCGCGCCGCAUUAGCUAGUUGGUAAGGUAACGGCUUACCAAGGCAACGAUGCGUAGCCGACGUGAGGGGGUGAUCGGCCACACUGGAACUGAGACACGGUCCAGGCUCCUACGGGAGGCAGCAGUAGGGAAUCUUCCGCAAUGGGCGAAAGCCUGACGGAGCAACGCCGCGUGAGUGAUGAAGGUCUUCGGAUCGUAAAACUCUGUUAUUAGGGAAGAACAAAUGUGUAAGUAACUAUGCACGUCUUGACGGUACCUAAUCAGAAAGCCACGGCUAACUACGUG
rnacentral:rRNA from 1 species